UCUUUAGUAUAGCAAGUACUGAUGGCUUCCAACCAUCAAGCUCUAGUAUAAACCUAGAAAGAAUCA
rnacentral:tRNA from 1 species